AUGAUGAGGAUGGUGGCAUUUGACAUUCGGUCAAGGGAUGGAGCAGGAAGGCUUGAGAUACACAACCCAUAUCUUUAAGGCACUUUCCAUCUGGUGGAGAAACGGAAAUGUAUGCACAUAGCGGCACAUGCGAUGGCAACAGAACCCAGGGCCUGUGCCAGGCCUACCAAGGAGUGAGCUGAUGCGGCUGAGAGUUUUGGAAUGUGAGGCUGGGAUGACAAGCCUGGGGCCUGGCUCUUCUGUGCUCAGUGAGGACUGCUCCAGCCUCAGCCCCAACUCCCAGCAAAGCCCAGUUUACAGAGGAUGAAACUGAGGCACAGAGAAGUCAAGCGUCUUGUGCAGGGCCAGGAUUGGGACCCACGCAGCCUGCUCCAGAGCCGGGCUCUGACCCUCCACAAGAGCCAUCACUAAAGUUCCACUUACCGCUGCACCUUCAAUCUCUUCCUCUCUCCAUCCCUCCCACAUGUUCACAGACAAAAUCUUCUUCCUUAUUUAAUAAAACAAUAUAAUGACCAGCCUGGCAAA
ensembl:lncRNA LINC02396 long intergenic non-protein coding RNA 2396